GUGUCGGAGGUGUAUGUCGACACCCACAAAGGAAAAAGGAGAAACCCUCAAAUUCAGCCCCUUUAAGUCUAAAUUGAAGAUGGAUUCAAGUUGAGAUUGAUGCAUGAACCCGAUUUCUUGAUGAUCUAGUACUCACAAUCAUGUGGAACGUGUCAAGGAGAGCUCAAGCAUAGGAGGAUAACGGGUCAAGAUAAGGCAAGGUGACAAAUACACUUAUUGGAGUACUCAAGGUAAGUGAUUCCGAUUUCACUUCUUAGCUUGUUUAAAUAAGGUAGUGUUCUAGAUAAUUGGGUAUGUUACGAACUCAAUAUGGAUUUGGUUGAAUGAAAACGAUGGUUCUCGCUAAAUAGAUCGAAUGGGUCAAAUAAGGUAUUAUUGUCAUAACAUAAUGAAGUAUAAGUAAGUUCCGAACCGCUUUUCAGUAUUUAGAAAGAUCUGUUAAUUUUGUCAUAUGUUGCGAAUAGUGAGAUAUGUAAGAACGUAAGAUCAAAUGAAGUUCUAAGUUUAGUUUUGUGGUGAUGGGUCAAAAAUGUUAACUAAGUCGGAAAGUGUGUAAUAAAGAUCAAACGGGUCAAAACUAGGAAACGGGGUAAGGUGAGGUUUCGGCCAUUAAGGCAUGGGGAAAGUAUUGGUAUGAUUUGGGACCUUGAAAGGAUGUUACCAUACGUUUGGAACGCUCGUGGUGCAAGUAUAAUCGAUCCCGAUAGCCAAAAAGUAGAAAUUAGCGUCUGGGAUGCAGAAGGGGCGUCGCCGACGUCCCAAAGGACCGUCGGCGACGAUGCUUGGGUGGUUCUGUGCUUACGACGUCCUAAUUUCCUGUCUACGGACUUCUUUCCCGACGGACAAAAUUAGUGGGCGUCGCCGACAGCCUGGUGAGGCGUCGGCGACGGUGCCUUCGUUUCCUGCUUUCUGUUUUCGCCAUGUAGCGCUCUCGGUUGAACUCAUUUCCGUCCGGGUGCUCCGUAAAGACUCCGUAAGCCUUGUUAGGCAUAAGAAAGCACUAACCUUAUUAAAAUAGAUAGCUAUGCACUCAAGUUCAUGUAAAAGUGCGGAUCUUAUAAAUAAUUAAAUGGUGAAAGGAAAUGUGUUAGAACAGUUUAUACGGAUAAAAUGAUAAAACUUGUUCAUAAGAAUGCUUACUUGUGAAUUAUUACGUAUGUUUAUAAUACAAUAGUAGGAGGUGGUUAAGGGAAUAUGACUUUAAUUGCACGUGUUAUAUGUAUUUUGGCAUACAAGAACAUGUACGAUACACAUAGGUAUGAAUACAUGAUUGUAAGUAUAUUUGAAUAUAUGUAGGGAUGUAAACGUGUACGGUUGUAAGUAUGUACGUGUGUAUGUACGUGCGAAUGCAUAAUUUAGAUGUAUUGAGAAUUAACGUUACUAACGACACACUUGAGUUUAGAAUAUAAUGCAUGAAUGAGAAUGACAGAUCCUUAUGAAGUUGAAGCUGAACUCGGAACGAGAGAUUUCAAGAGAAUAGUCGAAUGCUAUACGGAAGUUAAUUGUGUGAGACUAGUGUCGUAUGAGGUUGUCAAUGUCUAAUGAUUUAGUUGUAUGUGAUGUUCACAGGUACCACAUGGAUUCCUUCUUCUACUAACGAAGCUGAGCGGACGUAGAUCGAGUCAAGAGCAAGGGUUGUACGGAAAGAACGGUCAAAUAGUUCGAAAUAUGUAUUGCUUUGAAGCGUCAAUACAAUGUGAAUAUUGUAAAACCCUUCCAGUAAAUGUUUAAUAAAUUGCAUCUGAA